rnacentral:rRNA from 1 species
AUUGAACGCUGGCGGCAGGCCUAACACAUGCAAGUCGAGCGAGAGGCGGACGGGUGAGGAAUGUUUGGGGACUGCCCGAUAGAGGGGGAUAACUCCUGGAAACGGUGGCUAAUACAGCAUACUGUCGGAUAACCCAUAUGGGAUUCGCUAGUAGGUAAGGUAAUGGCUUACCUAGGCGACGAUCCCUAGCUGGUCUGAGAGGCAGAUAAGCCACACUGGGACUGUGACCGGGCCCAGACUCCUACGGAGGGAGCAGUGGGAAAUAGUGCACAAUGGGCGCAAGCCUGAUGCAGCCAUGCCGCGUGUAUGAAGAAGGCCCUAGGGUUGUAAAGUACUUUCAGUCGGGAGGCGUUACCGACAGAAGAAGCACCGGCUAACUCCGUGCCAGCAGCCGCGGUAAUAC